GACGAACGCUGGCGGCGUGCUUAACACAUGCAAGUCGAACGGAAAGGCCCUGCUUUUGUGGGGUGCUCGAGUGGCGAACGGGUGAGUAACACGUGAGUAACCUGCCCUUGACUUUGGGAUAACUUCAGGAAACUGGGGCUAAUACCGGAUAGGAGCUCCUGCUGCAUGGUGGGGGUUGGAAAGUUUCGGCGGUUGGGGAUGGACUCGCGGCUUAUCAGCUUGUUGGUGGGGUAGUGGCUUACCAAGGCCUUGACGGGUAGCCGGCCUGAGAGGGUGACCGGCCACAUUGGGACUGAGAUACGGCCCAGACUCCUACGGGAGGCAGCAGUGGGGAAUAUUGCACAAUGGGCGAAAGCCUGAUGCAGCAACGCCGCGUGCGGGAUGACGGCCUUCGGGUUGUAAACCGCUUUCGCCUGUGACGAAGCGUGAGUGACGGUAAUGGGUAAAGAAGCACCGGCUAACUACGUG
rnacentral:rRNA from 1 species